UGCCCGAAAGGGUGACGAAGCGACGCCGCGUGGGUGAGGAAGGCCUUCGGGUUGUAAAGCCCUGUCAGGAGUUAAGAAAUGUAGACUCGCUAAUAUCGGGUCUAUUUGACAAAGGCUCCAAAGGAAGCCACGGCUAACUCUGUGCCAGCAGCCGCGGUAAUACAGAGGUGGCAAGCGUUGUUCGGAAUUAUUGGGCGUAAAGAGCACGUAGGUGGAUUUGUAAGUCAGACGUGAAAGCCUUCUGUUCAACGGAAGAAUUGCAUCUGAAACUACAAACCUUGAGUGUAGGAGGGGAGAAUGGAACUUCUGGUGGAGCGGUGAAGUGCGUAGAUAUCAGAAGGAACGCCGGCGGCGAAAGCGAUUCUCUGGCCUAUUACUGACACUCAGUGUGCGAAAGCUAGGGGAGCAAACGGGAUUAGAUACCCCGGUAGUCCUAGCCGUAAACGAUGGGCACUAAGUAGAGGGG
rnacentral:rRNA from 1 species